rnacentral:rRNA from 1 species
UGUCUUUUUUUUGUCUUGAUUGAUCCCAUGGGUAUGAAACCCAUUUGAGCGAGAGUAGUACUAGGAUGGGUGACCUCCUGGGAAGUCCUCGUGAAAGGGUUU